rnacentral:rRNA from 1 species
GACGAACGCUGGCGGCGUGCUUAACACAUGCAAGUCGAACGGUAAGGCCCUUCGGGGUACACGAGUGGCGAACGGGUGAGUAACACGUGGGUGAUCUGCCCUGCACUUCGGGAUAAGCCUGGGAAACUGGGUCUAAUACCGGAUAGGACCCUGGGAUGCAUGUCCUGGGGUGGCAAGCUUUUGCGGUGUGGGAUGGGCCCGCGGCCUAUCAGCUUGCUGGUGGGGUGAUGGCCUACCAAGGCGACGACGGGUGGCCGGCCUGAGAGGGUGACCGGCCACACUGGGACUGAGAUACGGCCCAGACUCCUACGGGAGGCAGCAGUGGGGAAUAUUGCACAAUGGGCGCAAGCCUGAUGCAGCGACGCCGCGUGAGGGAUGACGGCCUUCGGGUUGUAAACCUCUUUCAGCACCGACGAAGCGCAAGUGACGGUAGGUGCAGAAGAAGGACCGGCCAACUACGUGCCAGCAGCCGCCGCAG